rnacentral:rRNA from 1 species
GAUGAACGCUGGCGGCGUGCCUAAUACAUGCAAGUCGAGCGACCGGACGAUAAGCUCUCUCCUCUGAUGGUAGCGGCUGACGGGCGAGUGACACAUGGAUAACCUACCUAUAAUACUUGGAUGACUACGUGGAGCCGCAGCUGAUAAUGGAUAAUAUGUUGUACCGCAUGGUUCAAAAGUGAAACAGAGUCUUGCUGUCACUUUUAGACGGAUCCGCGCUGCAUUAGUUAGUUGGUAAGGUAACGGCCUACCAAGGCAACGAUCCGUAGCUGACCUGAGAGGGUGAUCAGCCACACUGGAACUGAGACACGGUCCAGACUCCUACGGGAGGCAGCAGUGGGGAAUAUUGGACAAUGGGCGCAAGCCUGAUCCAGCCAUGCCGCGUGGGUGAAGAAGGUCUUCGGAUUGUAAAGCUCUUUUAUUAGGAAAGAAAAGCAGCAGGUUAAAACCCCGCUGUUCUGACGGUACCUAAAGAAUAAGCACCGGCUAACUUCGUG